GUUGUGACGCCAGUCGCAUCGCCGGGUAGCUAUGUUCGGAAGGGAUAACCGCUGAAAGCAUCUAAGCGGGAAGCCUACCUCAAGAUAAGAUUUCCCUAGGACUUUAUGUCCUCUAAAGAGCCGUUCGAGACUAGGACGUUGAUAGGUUGGAUGUGGAAGCAUAGUGAUAUGUGAAGCUGACCAAUACUAAUUGCUCGUGAGGCUUGACUAU
rnacentral:rRNA from 1 species